UACGGAGGGUGCAAGCGUUAUCCGGAUUCACUGGGUUUAAAGGGUGCGUAGGUGGGUUGGUAAGUUAGUGGUGAAAUCCCCGAGCUUAACUUGGGAACUGCCAUUGAUACUAUCAGUCUUGAAUACCGUGGAGGUCAGUGGAAUAUGUCAUGUAGCGGUGAAAUGCUUAGAUAUGACAUAGAACACCAAUUGCGAAGGCAGCUGGCUACACGAAUAUUGACACUGAGGCACGAAAGCGUGGGGAUCAAACAGG
rnacentral:rRNA from 1 species